GAGAGCCGUGAUGCUCCGAAAGGCGCAAGUCCGGUUCGGGGAGGGGCGAACAGAAAAGUACUAUUAGUAACUCGCUGGUCGCCUACUCUAC
rfam:Tolypothrix campylonemoides VB511288 scaffold_7, whole genome shotgun sequence.